rnacentral:rRNA from 1 species
UACAGAGGGGGCUAGCGUUGUUCGGAAUUACUGGGCGUAAAGCGCACGUAGGCGGAUUGUUAAGUCGGGGGUGAAAUCCUGGAGCUCAACUCCAGAACUGCCUUCGAAACUGGCGAUCUUGAGUCCGGGAGAGGUGAGUGGAACUGCGAGUGUAGAGGUGAAAUUCGUAGAUAUUCGCAAGAACACCAGUGGCGAAGGCGGCUCACUGGCCCGGUACUGACGCUGAGGUGCGAAAGCGUGGGGAGCAAC